GAAAAUGAUAAAAAUGUUGUUAAUGCAUACGAUGCAUGAAAACAUAUAUNCCAAAUAAUGAUUAAAAGCCAACAUGUUUUAUGUGUUUAGGUAGGUCCAGUGUCUUAAGGUCUAAGCAUUGUGUAUGCAAUCUCACAAGGAAAGCUUCCUAAACCUAAAAUCAAGGCCACCAGAGCUAUGGUCCUUUUCACAACUUUUUAACAACAGUUGAUCGCAACUAGGUGUGAAAUUGCAUGUAAAGAGAACAACCACUGGCUGGGGUUUUCACGAUAGCCAAACUGGAGGCAGUCCAGACGUGACACCGCUACACAACCUCUCUAAUUCCAUGUUGCACUCAGACCCGGGUAUAGGGCCCCACUCAUGAUAUGUACAAUAAUAAUAAUAAUAAAAAGAAUAAAAUACCAAAAUAAAUAAAGACAAUCACAUAUAAACAAAAGGGAAAAUAAAAUAAAAUAAG
rnacentral:lncRNA from 1 species